AGGACGAACGCUGGCGGCGUGCUUAACACAUGCAAGUCGAGCGAGGCCCACCUUUCGGGGUGGUGUCCUAGCGGCGAACGGGUGAGUAACACGUGGGCAACCUGCCCUCAGCUCUGGGAUAACUCCAAGAAAUUGGGGCUAAUACCGGAUAUGACUGCUGACCGCAUGGUCUGGUGGUGGAAAGAUUUAUCGGCUGGGGAUGGGCCCGCGGCCUAUCAGCUUGUUGGUGGGGUAGUGGCCUACCAAGGCGACGACGGGUAGCCGGCCUGAGAGGGUGACCGGCCACACUGGGACUGAGACACGGCCCAGACUCCUACGGGAGGCAGCAGUGGGAAUAUUGCGCAAUGGGCGAAAGCCUGACGCAGCGACGCCGCGUGGGAUGGACGGCCUUCGGGUUGUAACCUCUUUCAGCGAGGACGAAGCGAAAGUGACGUACUGCAGAAGAAGCACCGCCAACGUACGUGCCAGCAGCCGAC
rnacentral:rRNA from 1 species